UCGUCCCUAACGCUGGCACUGCCAACAAACAAAGCUAAGCUUAGAUAAACUGACCCCCCUCUCUUUGGCUUUCCCCCCUCUCUUUGGCUUUCUUUGCCUGUUCUCAUCAACCCCACAAAUAACAAUAAAAGGGUUCUUUUAUUAUUAUUAUUUUCGUUGAUAUAAAAGCUCGAUCCACUGUCUUUUAAACCAUGGCUAGCUUUACAACAAAGGAUAUGACAAACAUGCGUUUCCAAUUGGGAAAUGGGGAAGAAUCCUUCAAGAGAGAAAAAAAAGGGCGAGCUUUUCGCUGGCGGUUGUGGACAAUAUAAUUAAUGCUCUUCCACACAUAUAUAUAAUGAUAAUGCUUUAAUCUGUUAAACCAUGAUUUAUUAUUAUUUUCCUUCAUAUCAGCUUUUGUUUAUAUAAAUAUGAUUGACCAAAUUAAAGGGGAAUGAUGUUAUUGUUUUCAAACGCAUGCAGUCAUCCCCGCCCAACGACUCCCUCGUUUGCACAUGAUUUUCUAUCGCUGUUCAGUGGCUUGUGAUUAGAGGAGGUUUGGAACAUGGAUUCAUGUGGGAAUAUUCAAGGAUCUAUUUUUGUGUAUUUCCAUGUACUUAUAUAUAUAUAUAUAUUUAAAGCUUACAA